CCUGUUUAAAGUUUAGUUUCACUUUCCAGAGGCUGUUGUAUGUCGCAACCUUUUCUCUCCUCCGUAUGGAGCUCCAUCUGAAGGUGGAGCUCUGACUCAUAUCAUUCCAGGAAACAGGUCACCU